AACGUCAAUAAGAUAUGUAUAAACAGAAGUAAAGAUUCUUUUAAUCACCUCAGGUAUGAGAUCUAGGUGUACAACACCGAGAUGACAAAAUGCAAACUCAUAAUUUUUUUUGAAUCAUAACAGUCUUUGCGUCCUACUCAUAUACUUCCCACCUCUGCACAUAAAACACACCACCAAGUUCAGUAUAGCACAUACAAUCCUACGUCGGAUCCUAUGUCGGAAGUGUAUUGUUCCCUUACCUUGAAAGUAUCUAUCGAAAAGCUCUCCUCCUUCACGUAGCCUAAAACAACAAAUCACUUGCAUUAUCACUACAUUCACUAUAGACAUUAUCAAUGAUCCUCAUAUGCAUCAUAGAAAUGAGGAAGGUUAUCA
rnacentral:lncRNA from 1 species